CGAGGUGGCGGGACGGGUGGAGUAAUGUCGUAGGGAAACGUGCCCGAUGGAGGGGGAUAACUACUGGAAACGGUAGCUAAUACCGCAUAACGUCGCAAGACCAAAGAGGGGGACCUUCGGGCCUCUUGCCAUCGGAUGUGCCCAGAUGGGAUUAGCUAGUAGGUGGGGUAACGGCUCACCUAGGCGACGAUCCCUAGCUGGUCUGAGAGGAUGACCAGCCACACUGGAACUGAGACACGGUCCAG
rnacentral:rRNA from 1 species